rnacentral:rRNA from 1 species
CACGUAGGGCGCAAGCGUUGUCCGGAAUUAUUGGGCGUAAAGAGCUCGUAGGCGGUCUGUUGCGUCCGCUGUGAAAACUCGGGGCUUAACCCCGAGCCUGCAGUGGAUACGGGCAGACUAGAGGUAGGUAGGGGAGAAUGGAAUUCCCGGUGUAGCGGUGAAAUGCGCAGAUAUCGGGAGGAACACCGGUGGCGAAGGCAGCCCCCUGGGUCAAGACUGACGCUCAUGCACGAAAGCGUGGGGAGCAAACAGG